UACGGGGGGGGCAAGCGUUGUUCGGAAUUACUGGGCGUAAAGGGCUCGUAGGCGGCCAACUAAGUCAUACGUGAAAUCCCUCGGCUCAACCCAGGAACUGCGUCCGAUACUGGUUGGCUUGAAUCCGGGAGAGGGAUGCGGAAUUCCAGGUGUAGCGGUGAAAUGCGUAGAUAUCUGGAGGAACACCGGUGGCGAAGGCGGCAUCCUGGACCGGCAUUGACGCUGAGGCGCGAAAGCCAGGGGAGCAAACAGG
rnacentral:rRNA from 1 species